CCUGUAUAAAAGACACCUGUCCACAGAAGCAAUCAAUCAAUCAGAUUCCAAACUCUCCACCAUGGCCAAGACCAAAGAGCUCUCCAAGGAUGUCAGGGACAAGAAUGUAGCACUACACAAGGCUGGAAUGGGCUACAAGACCAUCGCCAAGCAGCUUGGUGAGAAGGUGACAACAGUUGGUGCGAUUAUUCGCAAAAGGAAGAAACACAAAAGAACUGUCAAUCUCCCUCGGCCUGGGGCUCCAUGCAAGAUCUCACCUCGUGGAGUUGCAAUGAUCAUGAGAAUGGUGAGAAAUCAGCCCAGAACUACACGGGAGGAUCUUGUCAAAGGCAGCUGGGACCAUAGUCACCAAGAAAACAAUUGGUAACACACUACGCCGUGAAGGACUGAAAUCCUGCAGCGCCCGCAAGGUUCACCUGCUCAAGAAAGCACAUAUACAUGCCCGUCUGAAGUUUGCCAAUGAACAUCUGAAUGAUUCAGUGGACAACUGGGUGAAAGUGUUGUGGUCAGAUGAGACCAAAAUGGAACUCUUUCGUAUCAACUCAACUCGCCGUGUUUGGAGGAGGAGGAAUGCUGCCUAUGACCCCAAGAACACCAUCCCCAUCGUCAAACAUGGAGGUGGAAACAUUAUGCUUUGGGGGUGUUUUUCUGCUAAGGGGACAGGACAACUUCAACGCAUCAAAGGGAUGAUGGACGGGGCCAGGUACCGUCAAAUCGUGGGUGAGAACCUCCUUCCCUCAGCCAGGGCAUUGAAAAUGGGUCAUGGAUGGGUAUUCCAGCAUGACAAUGACCCAAAACACAUGGCCAAGGCAACAAAAGAAUGGCUCAAGAAGAAGCACAUUAAGGUCCUGGAGUGGCCUAGCCAGUCUCCAGACCUUAAUCCCAUAGAAAAUCUGUGGAGGUAGCUGAAGGUUCGAGUUGCCAAACGUCAGCCUCGAAACCUUAAUGAAUUGGAGAAGAUCUGCAAAGAGGAGUGGGACAAAAUUCCUUCUGAGAUGUGUGCAAACCUGGUGGCCAACUACAAGAAACGUCUGACCUCUGUGAUUGCCAACAAGGGUUUUGCCACCAAGUAUUUGGGUUCCCCCACUUUCAGAGAUCUGCAUAUUCAAGACAAGUAGCCUGUGGCCUUGUCUCAGGAUGGACCUGAGCCCUAGGACCAUGCCCCAGGACUACCUGACAUGAUGACUCCUUGCUGUCCCCAGUCCACCUGACCAUGCUGCUGCUCCAGUUUCAACUGGCCUGGGCCCUAGGACCAUGUCCCAGGACUACCUGACAUGAUGACUCCUUGCUGUCCCCAGUCCACCUGGCCAUGCUGCUGCUCCAGUUUCAACUGUUCUGCCUUACUAUUAUUCAACCAUGCUGGUCAUUUAUGAACAUUUGAACAUCUUGGUCACGUUCUGUUAUAAUCUCCACCCGGCACAGCCAGAAGAGGACUGGCCACCCCACAUAUGUUCUCUCUAAUUCUCUCUUUCUUUCUCUCUCUCGGAGGACCUGAGCCCUAGGACCGUGCCCCAGGACUACCUGACAUGAUGACUCCUUGCUGUCCCCAGUCCACCUGACUGUGCUGCUGCUCCAGUUUCAACUGUUCUGCCUUAUUAUUAUUCGACCAUGCUGGUCAUUUAUGAACAUUUGAACAUCUUGGUCAUGUUCUGUUAUAAUCUCUACCCGGCACAGCCAGAAGAGGACUGGCCACCCCACAUAGCCUGGUUCCUCUCUAGGUUUCUUCCUAGGUUUUGGCCUUUCUAGGGAGUUUUUCCUAGCCACCGUGCUUUUACACCUGCAUUGUUUGCUGUUUGGGGUUUUAGGCUGGGUUUCUGUACAGCACUUUGAGAUAUCAGCUGAUGUACGAAGGGCUUUAUAAAUAAAUUUGAUUUGAGGUAAAGGAAAAACCCUGGAAUAAGUGUUCAAACCAUUGACUGGUACUGUAUAUAUCCAUAAAAAUGAUGCCAGUUGAUUCAUGGGGGUGGCAGGGUAGCCUAGUGGUUAGAGCGUUGGACUAGUAACCGAAAGGUUGCAAGUUCGAAUCCCCGAGCUGACAAGAUACAAAUCUGUCGUUCUGCCCCUGAACAGGCAGUUAACCCACUGUUCCU